AGGUAGUUUAAUUUAAUUCUCAGUAGCAUGGAAGUAUAAAUAAGUUAGAAAAUUUAGGGGUAUUUUUUAGGGAAAAUUAGAAAAAUGAGACACUUUCAUCUUAGAUUUGUUCCAAUAAGACUUGUAGAGGAUUAUUUAGGUAAAUAAGAUUUAUAUUCUCUUUAAUACCAUUAUACCCUUAUAAUUAACCAAAUUAACCUUAAUUAAAAUUUAAAUUAAUUCGUAAUUGAUUUAAAUUUUAAUUUAAAAAAAAAAAACCACAAAAGGAUUAAAAACUUGUUUACCCUAAUAUUUUUUCACUUCUUUUCUUCUCCGCCGUGUACCUUCAAGCCUUCAACCCUUUCAAUGUCAAUUUAGGGUAAGCGGAGAAUCCUUAUUUUUUUCAUCGUAAAUCAUCAAUUUUUUGUCUCUAAUCUCGUUUUUAUCUUUCUUCUCUUUGUUCUCGGAUACAAUUCAGCGAAUUGGGGAUUUGUUCUUUGGUUUGUCAGACGGUCCUCUUCUCUCUCUACGGUUUCGUCGGACGGUAUUCUUCUCUCACUACAGGUUUCGUCGGACGGUCCCUUCACAGUUUGAUGUAAGAUCUGGUCUAAACCACAUUGCAGAUCAGGCCUGACAUCGAAAGGAUCGAGAAAUGGGUGUUACGCAUUGCUUUUGAUGAUGAGAAGAAUCCUUAUCUACCGAAAGUUUUCUAACAGAGCCAUCUUUGGAAAAUUCUUCCCUAAGGUUCUACUUCAUUCUUUGCCUGAACUGUCUUUGAUCUUUGCUCUGUUAUGUACAUAUAAUGAGCAGAGCGCUGCUAGAGCUACUGUGCCAGGAGGUCCAAGUGUACCAUGUAGUACAGCGAAGGCUGUGGAAUGGGACGCUGCUUGGUCACAGAACCUUGACCUGUCGGGUCGUGCGGCUCUUGGAGUUCAUGUUGAAGCUUAUGAGGAAGAUAAAGCCGAAGAUACCCGUCCUAAGAAGCUACAGGCAGAGAAAACUGCAGAAGGCAUUGUUUGAGGAUUAAACAAGGUUUAUAACGAAUAUUUGCAUCGCACAUUUCUCUUAUUUUCUCAAAAGACAAUACUUUAUCAUCUUCCGUAGGGUCAAUAAGUGCCAAUAAGUUGACUCUUUAACUGAAUUGUGUUAGGAGUUUCUGAGGAUGUACCUAAGUUUCUGGUGAUUUUCUAUUUGUUUUCCUGAAUAUGAAUCUUUCUUCUGUUACAAAGUUUCAACUUUUUUUUUUCUGUAUGAUGUAUCGUUCAACUGUGUUCAGUCUAGAUUUGUUUCAUUUCAGUUUUGACUUUUGAGAAAUUAAGUUUUGGGAAUUCAUACACCUUUGAAUUGUUCAAACUAGAUUUUGGUUCAUUUAUUCUCUAUGUUCUUUAAUUGGGUUUAAAAGGUCUAUAAGCUAAAUAUAUCAUACAACAAACAAUUAGACUUUGUGGCCCAAUGGAUAAGGCACUGGUCUACGAUAUAUCACACAACCAGAGAUUAUGGGAUCGAUCCCCAGCAGAGUCUCUUUUGUUUUUGUUUUUUAACGCUAUCAGCCUCAACAACACGGCUCCUUGUUCAAAUUGUUCCUUUUGAUUUACACCAGUACGAAGAGGAAAAGAUCGGAGAAAGAUCGUGGGAGUAGGAGAAAAACGUGGGAGAAAAUAUUCUAUGAGAGAUUUAGGGUAGAUUUAGUUUAGAUUUAGGAAACAUCAUUAACCGAAUAUGGAAGUUUCCAUAUUUUUCGGAUUUGUCUAGAAUAUGUAUCCUACCUUACGUAGAACAUAGUAGAGUAGAUGAGAAACACAUUCUUCAUUAAGCGUCACAUAAGGUAAAAGGCAGAACAUAUUAUGACAAAUAAUAUAGAUAAGGUAUAUCAUUGCGUUGUAGCUAUAUGUCGUUAUCAAGCUGUAGGUAGAUUGAAGACAAUUUUCUUGAUUAUAACAUAACAGAUUAUAGUUUCGUUAGAAUAUAUAAGAAAUGUUAGUUUACGCUAUAUACCCUGGAUAUAUCUAUGUAUAAAACUUAGUAUCCGAUUUCUAAAUUAAGUAGAUUACUAGAAUGUGUUUUCUAACUGUAGCUAGAAAAUAAAAUAAAAUAUGAUUCAACUUUUUUCAAAAAAAAAAAUUAAGCAUAUAUAUUGUCAUACUUAUGUUUCCAAUAGUCUUAAUAUUUUUUUACAUUUUUAAAAUUCAGUUUACUAUUUUUACCAUAAAAGAAGGGUAAAACAUAUCUAGAAUUGCCAAAAAUAUCAGAAGUCCUAAAAGGACAAAUAAAAGUUGAGAGUGUCCCAUUUUUCCAAUUUUCCCUAUUUUUUAAUGGGUACUUCUCUUUUAAUAAUAGAGAUUUCAGUCCUGCUCCAGAGUAAACAUAAAUUUAUUUUAUAAAUUAAGUAAUAGACUUUUUUUUAUUCUAUUUCUUUUCGAAAUAGAAAAAAGAUUAAAGUAAAAUUCAACUCCAUUACGCAAUUACUUUAAAAUAAAAAAUGGAAUAAUGAUAUGCAUAGACUGUUACAUCAUGAGUAGUCACAUCAGAUUAGGUAACGAAGAAUGAAAAACUAUGAAUAGUAACCAAGAAAUGACGAGGAAUAAUGCAUUUUUUAACAUUCCUACAAAAAAUCACCAUUCACAAGGAAUAAUAAUUUCCUCUCAUUUCCUCUCAUUUCUUUUUUGUAGAGAAUUAAAGAACAAAAUUAUUUCUUGUUAAAUUUGAGAAGGAACAAUCAUUCUUUUUCAUUCCUGCUAUUUUAUUUCCGUACAUUCCUUUUAUAUUCGUUCCUCUUAUUUUCCGAAUGGUCACCAGUCAGACCCUAAAACAAAACAUAUAUAUGAGCCUUGUGGUAUGGAAAUGGCAUGUGAGAUGUGUAAUGAAAGGGAGGAGAUCCAAUCUUUGCCGUUAAAACGAAGUGAUUUGUAUUAUAUUUCGUAUUAGGAGAGGUCCGCGCUACGCGCGGGAUUUGAUGGAUCGAUUUUUAUAAAAAAAUAAUUUUGUGUACAUUUUCUUUUAUGUUAUUUUUUUUUUACAGCAAAAGGCUAAGAAACUAAGAAGAUCCCUGGUCCGAGAGCCACCUCGGGGGAACUGAAUCAACAUAAACCAUAGCAGAUGGCGAAGUCCUAGCACCUCGUGCCAGCUUGUCCGCCAGAGUAUUUUGUGCCCUUGGGAUAUGUUGGAUAGUAAAGUUGAGAAAGAACUCCUUACAUCGCAUAAACUCAUCCAUAUGUGUUAGUGAACGCCGGCCAUUCUGUUGGUGUAGACACCAUCUUCACCAAUUAAGAGCAGUCAGUUGCAAACACCACCUCUGAAACUUGUAGGGUCUUCAAGCAGUGCAUCGCCCAUAUCAAAGCUUCACAUUCAGCAUGUAAAGGUGAUAGACUCCUACGAAUAGACAUUGCACCCAUCAUAGUAUCAGUGGAUCCAUUUUUCCUAUAGACACAUCCUUGUCCCGUAUAAGGAUCAUGUUCCUUCUAUGUUCCAUCAAUAUAACACUUGUCGAUGCCAUGUGGCAGAGCUUUUCCUACAACAUCUAGGGGUCCACGAUUUAUAGACGCAUCUUUCUGUGCUUCAGCCCACAAGACACCUUCUAUCUCCGCAGUCCUGAGAAUGUCAAAAGGGGUUCUUAUCUGAUUCUUAAAAACUUUAGCGUUUCGAUUCUUCCAAAUAUACCAUAGUAUCCAUGGAAAAUAAUUCAAGUCCGGUUCCUUGGGUAACCGCCAGAAAAGAUAGUCCAUAUUUGUGAAAAGAGACGGGGUGGGAAAAACCCCCAGACAUGAGGGAAUAUUGGAUAAGGCCCAAGUUUGUAAUGCCAACGGACAUUCAAACAGCACAUGAUUAAUGGAUUCUUCCUCAUCUCCACAUACUUGACACUGCGUAUCACAUCUUAUCCCUCGGUAACGAAGAUUCUUAGUUACCGGUAGACUACCCGAUAAUAUUUGCCAAACAAAAUGUUGCAGCUUUGGUGAACAUUGAAGCUUCCAAGAAUGAGCCAAGAGUGGUUUAGUAUUUGGUCCCAAAAAACUAUCCUGAGCUCCACUAUCCGGAAAUAACGUUUCCGUUCGAUAACCUGAUUUAACCGUAUAUCUACCAUGGUCCGUUAAAUGCCAGCCAUAUGAAUCCGGUUUUGGAUUACGACUAAUAGCUAAACUCCGUAUAAUAUCCACAUCAUCCUGAUGUAUAUAAGCUUUGAGCAAAUUCAGAUUCCAAGAAAGAUUUUCUUGAUUAAUUAAAUCUUACACCUUAAGUAAUGGAUUCAAAUAUUGAUUCGGAAAUUUUUGUAUUGCUGACCUCGGGCGAGGAGCAGGGAUCCAAGGAUGCAUACCUUUUGUAUUGCCACUGCCACUCCACCAAAAAUGGGAAACUGUACUGGUAAGUUUUUUUCGUAACCGUUUUUGGUAAACGAAAACAUGACAUAACAUGAGUUGGCAUAGGUGAUGCCACUGCUUUAAUUAAAACUUCCUUUCCUCCUUUCGUAAUGAAUCAUAUUGUCCAAUUAUUAACUUUAUUAUUAACCAUUUCAUUAAGAAAACCAAGAACCUGUGUUUUGGAUCCCCCAAGACUCUCAGGUAUUCCCAACUGCUUUUAUGUUUAGUUGGGUGUGAAUAUGAUUAUGUUGUCUACCCCAUAACUAAAAAUGAUCGAAUUCGUAGUAUUGUUGCUAUUUUAAUCCCCAAUUGUAAGUUUUUAUAGUGUUUUAAGUUUUAUAACACUAUAAAAUACAUAAAUCAAUUGGAUUCGAUUAAAAUAGAAUGAGAUCGAGUUUUCUAAUACCGUUGUAUCUUCAUUUUUGUUAGGGUUUUAAAAAAUAGUGAAGAAUGAGGUUUUUAUUUAGAGGACCUCUUUGUUAGAGUUAUUAUAGUUGUUUUGGAGAAUGUUAGUAAUUGAUACUAUUAACAAUAGUUGUUAUUUUUUGCCUUUUUUGUUUCUUUUGUGUAAUAUUUUUUUGGUUAUAUUUGCUUAUAUAUUAUGUAAUUAAUCGUACUAAUAAAUUUAUUAAUAAGAAAAAAUAAAAAAUAAAAAGAAAAGGUAAAGGCAAAAAAGUGACAAAUGUAUUAUUCUAAACGGACAAACUUAGUAUAAUUUCUUGUACCUGAAAAUGGAAAAUAUUUUGACUAAAAUAUUGUGUCUCAACAUGUAGGCAUUUUAUGUUCAUUUGGAUCCAGUCAAUUAUGCAUUGGUGGUGAUAGAUAUGGUUGUAUCGCAAUGAAUUUAUGACGUCUUUACCUUGAUAUAUGAUUUUUUUUAACAUGGUUGUUAGUUUAUUUAUUUAUGUUCAGGUUUGUAUUAUGAUAGCAUUUUAUUUCAUAGAGUGGCUUGAUGGAAUUUGUGUGCCGGUGUAACACUUUUUGGAGUAGGUGGAUGGUACUAUUUUUUGAAUUUUGCCACGUUUACGGCUAUUUACAUUUAAUUCACAAUUUCAACUCUGGAUUAGAAAUAAGUUAUUUAGAAAAUCUAUUAUUUAGAUCAUAUAUCAAUCGGGGGUGAUUGGUAGAGGCUGUGAUUUUCUGUUUUUUCGCUCUAAGAUUUCAGCUUUAGAUUUUUAGUUUUAGCUUUAAUUUAUUUUGCUGUAGAAAUUUUUCAUAACACUGUAUAAAAUCUUUAGAGAAAGUGUUUUCUAAAGCUAACAUAUUUUAUUUUAUAAUAUUUUGGUUUUACAUUCAAUUUUUAAAAUAAAAUCAUGAUUACUUUAAAAAAUAGAUGUAGAAAUUAAAAAGACUGUGCACAGCUCCUACGGCCUACGACCUCAACCAAUCCCAAUAAGACUUGUGGUUCGGGUGCUGUUUCUAGAUUUGUGCGUAGAAACAAAUGAAUCUAAUUUUUUUUAAACAAAUUAGCAUAUGGAGGGAAAUGGUAUUCACAUCUUGUAAUGAGUAGUCGUCAUACGUUACAAACCAAAUCUGGGUCCACUUUUUAGACUUGUAGGCCUUUUUCUUGAAUAAUUUUUUUUUUUGUAAAUAUAUUCCGUCCACAGUAAAAUAGUUGUCUACAAAAAAUUUGGAUGACUAAUGAUAAAAGUUUUUUUUUUUUGAAAAAGGACUAAUGAUAAAAUUAUAAACAUUAUUUGAAAGUUUAAAUUAUAUGGAGCCCUGCGCAAAAUGUAGUUUUGCGUUUAUAUUUAUGUCUACAAUCUACAUGUUCAAAAUAACAUUUUCAUGGUACAUAAUAUUGUACUAUGAACAAACAUCGAUUGUAUCUGAUCAACCCACGACAACGUGAACUUUAAGGUUCCACUUUUGUAUUAAAGUAUUGGUCUUAUAAUUUUCUGGUUAUUUCAUUUCCUUUAUUGAUUUUAUAAUAAUAACUGACAGCUUCAUCAUCAUCAUCACAAAUAUUCACAACCAUUAUCUCUCUCUCUUUCUUGGAUCAUCACACAUCCACACAAAGACUAAAGACGAAGAGGCAAAAGCAAGAAGUGGAAGAACAUCAGUACAUCACGCAUGGUUUUCACUUUGCCAUCCAAUGGAUGACUCUCCUUUAGCAUCCACAGAUGCGUCAUCAGUCUCUUAAGCUUGAUAAAGGCGGGUCAAUCUGAAACGGAGAUUGUAAUCGAUGGUCAAAAGCUUGUGGUUGCUAAUGUUGGAGACUCAAGGGCAGUGAUAGGCGUUGCGCAUCAGCUCUUGAUAAAGAACCAAGCAAGGAGGGGAAAGAUAUAGAGAAGCGAGUUGUAAUUGUGUUAAACAUUCCAGAUAAGGCUCUGUGUAUAUUUUGUUCUUGGAAACAAACUCAACACCGGCAGUUCCAAAAUCAAAACCAGAUUGAGAAGAUGGUUUUCAGAGCAGAAAGGCUAACCUUUUUAUACAAGCAGAUACACCGCCUUGCAGGAGUGAAGCUCGCAUUGAAGGUAGAUUGUGGGUGAUGCAUCUGUAACUGGUUGCUUUUCAGAUUGUUAGGAAGAAGAUGAACCAUCGCUUUCGUUGAAAUUAGCUCUCGUACGGCAGAGAUCAGAAAUGUGUUGAACCCUAAAAUCUGAAACGACGCGUUUUAAAACA